CGUACACUCCUACGGGAGGCAGCAGUGGGGAAUAUUGCACAAUGGGCGCAAGCCUGAUGCAGCCAUGCCGCGUGUAUGAAGAAGGCCUUCGGGUUGUAAAGUACUUUCAGCGGGGAGGAAGGCGAUAAGGUUAAUAACCUUGUUGAUUGACGUUACCCGCAGAAGAAGCACCGGCUAACUCCGUGCCAGCAGCCGCGGUAAUACGGAGGGUGCAAGCGUUAAUCGGAAUUACUGGGCGUAAAGCGCACGCAGGCGGUCUGUCAAGUCGGAUGUGAAAUCCCCGGGCUCAACCUGGGAACUGCAUUCGAAACUGGCAGGCUAGAGUCUUGUAGAGGGGGGUAGAAUUCCAGGUGUAGCGGUGAAAUGCGUAGAGAUCUGGAGGAAUACCGGUGGCGAAGGCGGCCCCCUGGACAAAGACUGACGCUCAGGUGCGAAAGCGUGGGGAGCAAACAGGAUUAGAUACCCCAGUAGUCCCAUGAU
rnacentral:rRNA from 1 species